rnacentral:rRNA from 1 species
AGUGAACGCUGGCGGUAGGCCUAACACAUGCAAGUCGAACGGCAGCACAGUAAGAGCUUGCUCUUACGGGUGGCGAGUGGCGGACGGGUGAGGAAUACAUCGGAAUCUACUUUUUCGUGGGGGACAACGUAGGGAAACUUACGCUAAUACCGCAUACGACCUACGGGUGAAAGCAGGGGAUCUUCGGACCUUGCGCGAUUGAAUGAGCCGAUGUCGGAUUAGCUAGUUGGCGGGGUAAAGGCCCACCAAGGCGACGAUCCGUAGCUGGUCUGAGAGGAUGAUCAGCCACACUGGAACUGAGACACGGUCCAGACUCCUACGGGAGGCAGCAGUGGGGAAUAUUGGACAAUGGGCGCAAGCCUGAUCCAGCCAUACCGCGUGGGUGAAGAAGGCCUUCGGGUUGUAAAGCCCUUUUGUUGGGAAAGAAAAGCAGCAGGUUAAUACCCCGCCGUUCUGACGGUACCCAAAGAAUAAGCACCGGCUAACUUCGUG